rnacentral:rRNA from 1 species
GACGAACGCUGGCGGCGUGCUUAACACAUGCAAGUCGAACGGAAAGGCCCCUUUUGGGGUACUCGAGUGGCGAACGGGUGAGUAACACGUGAGUAACCUGCCCUUGACUUCGGGAUAACUUCAGGAAACUGGGGCUAAUACCGGAUAGGAAUCCUUGCUGCAUGGUGGGGGUUGGAAAGCUUCGGCGGUUUUGGAUGGACUCGCGGCUUAUCAGCUUGUUGGUGGGGUAGUGGCUUACCAAGGCUUUGACGGGUAGCCGGCCUGAGAGGGCGACCGGCCACAGUGGGACUGAGAUACGGCCCAGACUCCUACGGGAGGCAGCAGUGGGGAAUAUUGCACAAUGGGCGGAAGCCUGAUGCAGCAACGCCGCGUGCGGGAUGACGGCCUUCGGGUUGUAAACCGCUUUCAGCAGGGGCGAAGCUUGUGGUGACGGUACCUGCAGAAGAAGCACCGGCUAACUACGUG